rnacentral:lncRNA from 1 species
CUCAAUAAUCAAAGGUAAACAUCCAGCGUUUUCAGCUACUUCCAGCCCAAACUUUGUUGCUUCAGCUUCUGCAUAAUCCACUUUAUCAAGCCAUUUCGUUGGCUUUAAAGCUGCUGCUAUAAGUUUGCCUUCUGAAUUUCUGAUUACAAUGUCCAAACCUACUCUUUGUUGGUCUAUCUUUACAACUGCAUCAACAUUCACCUUGAA